GAGCGCCAGCGAGAGAGCGUUGCCGCAGGCAACGACCCGAAGGGCGAAGCGCGCAGCGCUGAGUAAUCCUUCCCCAACCACCA
rnacentral:sRNA from 1 species